rnacentral:rRNA from 1 species
CAGCAGUGGGGAAUUUUGGACAAUGGGCGAAAGCCUGAUCCAGCAAUGCCGCGUGUGUGAAGAAGGCCUUCGGGUUGUAAAGCACUUUUGUCCGGAAAGAAAUCCUUGGCUCUAAUACAGUCGGGGGAUGACGGUACCGGAAGAAUAAGCACCGGCUAACUACGUGCCAGCAGCCGCGGUAAUACGUAGGGUGCGAGCGUUAAUCGGAAUUACUGGGCGUAAAGCGUGCGCAGGCGGUUUGCUAAGACCGAUGUGAAAUCCCCGGGCUCAACCUGGGAACUGCAUUGGUGACUGGCAGGCUAGAGUAUGGCAGAGGGGGGUAGAAUUCCACGUGUAGCAGUGAAAUGCGUAGAGAUGUGGAGGAAUACCGAUGGCGAAGGCAGCCCCCUGGGCCAAUACUGACGCUCAUGCACGAAAGCGUGGGGAGCAAACAGGAUUAGAUACCCUGGUAGUCCACGCCCUAAACGAUGUCAACUAGUUGUUGGGGAUUCAUUUCCUUAGUAACGUAGCUAACGCGUGAAGUUGACCGCCUGGGGAGUACGGUCGCAAGAUUAAAACUCAAAUGAAUUGACGG